CCCGCCCGCGAAAAAGAAAUAAGCAGCAAUUAUUUUUCGCCCAGUCAAUCAGUAUCAGCAAUCCCUAAUCCAAGAGAACAAUUAUCAUGCAAUCCAUCUUCCUCAUCUUUCACCCAUUUAUCACCAUCUCUCCACAUUAAAACAAAGGAUAAAAGAUCUCAAAGCUUCCCCCAUCUUGCUCUUUUUUUUUUUUUUUUCUCCUGUCAAGCUAGAGUUUGCAACUAUGGACGAUGAUUUGUCAAAUUCGAUUAGGCGAAUGUCAAGCCGAACUCGUAAAGUUGCUCCAAAAAUGGCUGCUGCCCUGGCAAGCAGUGACAACCGAACUCAGGCAGCUCUUGCUCGACUUGAAGCAUUAGAAAAUGAUUUUGUGGGAAUGGAAACGGUGGAAACUAAUGAUGAUGACGAGGCUUCCCUUGAUGAUGAUGAUGAUGAAGGAUAUUUGCAAAAAAAGCAGCCCAAGAGCACAAAACGGAGAACCCGGCAAGCAAAAGCACUUGAGAAUGCCAGGAAAGCCCCAAGAAAUUUUCUUGAGCUCUUACAUGAGGCAAAUUUGGACUCUUUGCCUCCACAUGUUCCAUCCUAUUUGAAGGCAGCAGUAGGUCCUCCAAGUUCUACUUGCCGCCGACAUUUCUGCGCUGUUUGUGGAUUUGCUUCCAGCUAUACAUGUGUUAGAUGUGGAACACGCUUUUGUUCUACCCGUUGUCAGAAUAUACAUGAUGAUACUCGCUGUUUGAAAUUUGUUGCUUGACUGGACAGACUUAAGUCAACAGCUUUUUGUAGAACCUGGAAUUUCUGCACUAGAAUGGAUUGGUUGGGAAUUCAACCUUCUAACUUUACUCAUAAGUGAGACAUGAUGAUAUCUGAGUUUCGGGGGUUUGUUACUAAAAAGGUAUCAUAUUUUUAUUUGAGUUAAUGAAGCUCGAUGAAGAUUAAUUCACAAAAUAGUUUUCUGAAGAAACAAAUUUAAUUCAUAGUUGUGGAAUACAAUAACCAUAUUGUGUCUAAACUUAUCACUAUGUUUUACUUUUGACACAAUUUGAAACAUAUGUUAAUGUUAUAAAAUUUAAACAUUUAAAUCUUAAUUUCUUACUUUUAAUGGCUUAUUGGAUCAUUUUUAGUGUUAAAAGUAAAAUAACUAGUACUGUUUAAUUUAAAGUUAGUAUUAUUAUUUUUAUAUCUUUGGCCUUCUUUUUCUUGUAUAUCUUAUUAUUCAAUUGCCAUAUGCUUGAGAUGGUAUUAAAGGUGAAACACAAUGCUAAUCUUUAAGUAGAAUAUGAUUAUUAUGUUUAUGUUUUCCAAUUGAUAGUUAAAUGUGUUUCUUCAAAUAACCAUGUUUUGUGAAUUAAAAUCCAUUUGGGACUGAUUUUCUCAAACUGAUUUAGGAAAAGUUAACAUUUUGAGCUCUAAAAAUUAUUUUUAAAAAAUAGGUAAGUUGAUUUUUUCUUUUCUGAAUUGAAGUUUGACAAAAGCAAUUUAUAAAAAAAAUUAAGAAAAAUAAAUAUAUUAGAUCAUAAAUCUAAUUUUGCCCAACAAUAAUCUCAACUUGACCUUCACCGAGACUGUCAUUUAACAAAAAAAGGAAAAAAGAAAAGUAAAAUUAUGUAGCCCUUUUGCAUCAAAUCUCAAGUUUUGGGUAUUACACAUGCUUCAUCUACAAACUAACAUGGUGUCUGAUAUGGAGAAUAAAAUUAGAAUAUUCUUCAUUCUAUGGCCAUUCUAGAAAAAUUAGGAAGGGUGAAAUUUGAUGAUUAAAAUAAACAAAUUGAAAUUUGGUUCCAUUUUGAAAUGAAGCACCAAAUCUUUGUACCCUAUUUAGUCCUAAUUCAGGUAGGAUGACCAGAAAAUGGAUCUUUGCCCUCUGGAUUACUGUCAUUUUUUUAUUAGAUAGAUUUCAUUUCAUUUUAUUUUCUUACUGUCUAGUUCCUGGUUCGUAGUUCCUACUGAUUGUCAGUGAGUUUAUCCACACUGAUUGGCUGUUGGAACUCUGCAAUCCAAGGUUACUGGUAUAAAACUAAGAAGUAAUAAAUAUUCCAAUUUAUUACAAAAUGAGAAUUUUCUUCAGAUUCUAAGAGGAAUACAUGCACUCAAAACUAAGAAAGCCAAUAGAAUUUUCUUUAAGUUAAAACAUAUAAAAUUAACUUGCUUAAUUAAUUCAACAUCAUCCCCUCUAAAACUAAGAAAGUCAAUACAAUAUCCAUGGAAAUGGUAAAUGCGUCGUCUGGGAGAAUGAUUGAAGUUGAUUCUUGGGCAUCUUUCUUCAGAGGAGACACUAACAUUGGGGUAGAUCUAGCGGUGGAGGCUGUACGGACUGCAACUUCCCAACUCCAUUCUCAACCAGGAAAGCCAUGGCCAAACCCCAGGUAAUAUGGGAAUCCAGGUGACAGUGCAACAACCAAAUUCCUGUUUCAUACUAGGCGGGUCAAUAGAGGUACCAUAAUGCAUUUGUAUUGAAGUAUAAAGUUUUUGUAUAUUACCUGGAUUAUCAGCAACAAAUCGGAUGGCUACCCAACCGCCAGGAGGGGUUCCAAUAGUAUUCCUAAGCGGUGGAUCAAUGAGGUUGAACUUAGCUGUAUCUGUUCCUGGGUUGAAGUUACCAAAACCCAUCCCAACAACUGCAAAUUCGUAUCCAUGGAGAUGCAUUGGGUGGUCCUCAGUUGUUACAAUGCUGGUAUCCUGGAACACAAUUUGUACUUUCGAACCAUACUUGAGCUUGUAAAGCUUAGUUCCUGGAACAGGUUGCCAUAGGCCCCGGGGCACAUUGCCUGAGUAAUUAAAUUUUAUAGGGGGAGCAGGUGGAAAGUCUGUGGUGAAGAUGCCAGGUUGACCCUGGUAGUAAGCUUGCAUUAUGGAGUUUCUUGUCGGCAGUACGAAAGACACAUUGUUGAUACUGGCAGCAAAUCGGGUUCCAUUUGGACCCUGACAGCGGGGGCUAUUGGGAUUGGUACAAUUAAUUAAUCCUAAUCCCACUGCGAAAAACAGGUUGUCGUCAAUGUCAGUGGGAACUUUCACGUUGGAAGGACUCCUUAAUUGGGCAGUGAAUGCCGUUGCUGUAUUUGUGUCGUUGUAGGCUGGUAGUUGGGGCAGGAUUGCCUGCGAGGACUUCCCUUUCUUGGAAUUACAAGGAGCAGAUUUGUAUUGCAGGAUUGCAGUUGUAGUCGUAUUAUCAAAUGCUGCAUUCUGGGCAGUGUUAUAUGCACGUGCUGCCAUGUAGUAGCGACCUGGGGUUUGAUCGGCAGUGAGGAGGACAUUAGUUGUUUGACCAGGAGCUAUCAUAAUCACAGAGGUUGUGAAAGGCUUGGUGUAGGCUGCAUCAACAGCUACGACAGUUAGUCUGUGAUUAGCCACUGCGAAGAAGAGCUCCUGGUUCAUAGCAGAGUUAAUGAUUCGUAGGAGAAUCGUCUCGCCUGAAUCCACAGGGAAUAUUACAGUUUCUGCAUUGCCAAAACAUAGUAAAAGAGACAUUAUAUUCCAUAGUAGCAUCUUGCUCUUUAAUAAACAAAUUUUUUAUGGUUGGCGUCUUAUUAGGCAUUUGGGCACCUUUUUAUAGAUCUAUAGAAUAGCAGCAUACUAGAAAAGGAGCCGAAUUUUUUAUCAAAUCAUAAGAACCAUUCUGAAGCAAACCAAGAAUAGCAAACCUUUACUGGAACAUCUAUAGAGAUCGCCGGGUUGGCCAUUAAUGUUAUAAGCAUCAGAAACAUUUGGUGCUGCUCCUGUGAAGAUUGCCUGCCUCAGGACAUCCAUGGGAUUCCUGUCCCACCACUCACCUGUCAAUCAUCAUAAUCAGCUAAUGUCUGGCUAUUUCAGUUUCAUCUUUUUAUCAACUUAGAUGGAAAUGGAAAAUGGAUUACCAAGAAGAAUCGGGAUCUCUCGCUUGGGCAUUGGAAAUGGAUAUGAAGAACCCAAUUUAGGAUAGAUUAUGAGAGCUCCAUAAACAGUGGCCCGAAGCCAUCUGCUAUGAGCAUGCCACCAUAAAGUCCCCUCUUGAUUUUGAAUUGUGAACCUGUACGUGUAACUCCCACCUGGUAGAAUUGGACACUGAGUAACAUGAUCAGGUCCAUCUGCCCAUGGAUUUCGAAGUUGCCUUAUUCCAUGCCAAUGGAGGGUGACAUUGUAUUUCGCAUUAUUUACAGCUUUGAUCACCAGACUAUCCCCAUCUCUGACUUCCAA